AACUUUAUUUAUAGAAACAAUAAGCUGGCUGGAUUUGACCCAAGGGAACCACAGUGAACAUAGACUUGAAAAGUGGAAGCUUGUGCUACCUGACUCACCACCUGGCACCCCUGCAAAAGUACCAGGCUCCUCUGAACCUUCAGUGAGUGCCCCAGGCCUGCCUGUGCUGGCUGUCACCAGUUUUUCAUUUACUGUGUUUUGACUGGAGGAAGAGAAGGUAACAGCCUGGUAAAAGGACGGGAAGCACAUUCUACACAGUUGAAGAGCAAUGGUUCUGAGGUAAGAGCUACCCCAGACCAGAGGAGGAGCUAGCAGGAAGCAUCUAACAGCCAAUGUCCUGUGUACGUUCAUCACAAACAGAAAGUCUGAUUGGGGCCUUCUAACGAAACAUAUAUUUAUCUUGGGCUCCCUGGUGUGGGUAGCAAAUAGUUGAAUGUUGAUCCCAACUGCAUUUUAGUAUAAAUGAACCAUACAUGGCAGACAUC
rnacentral:lncRNA from 1 species